rnacentral:rRNA from 1 species
GACGACCUCAGAGCAGGCGAGACUACCCGCUGAAUUUAAGCAUAUUACUAAGCGGAGGAAAAGAAACUAACAAGGAUUUCCUUAGUAGCGGCGAGCGAACAGGAAUUAGCCCAGCACUGAAUCCCGCGGUUCUGCCGUUGGGAAAUGUAGUGUUCGGGAGGGUUCGUUUUAUCCCGCGGCGUCGGACCGCGUCCAAGUCCAUCUUGAAUGGGGCCAUUUACCCGUAGAGGGUGCCUGGCCCGUAGAGACCGGGACGCGCCGUGGGUGAACCUCUCCUUAGAGUCGGGUUGCUUGAGAGUGCAGCUCUAAGUUGGUGGUAAACUCCAUCUAAGGCUAAAUAUG